rnacentral:rRNA from 1 species
UGGGGAAUAUUGGACAAUGGGCGAAAGCCUGAUCCAGCCAUGCCGCGUGUGUGAAGAAGUUCUUCGGAUUGUACAGCACUUUAAGUUGCGAGGAAGGUCAUUAAGCGAAUACCUUGCUCUUUUGACGUUACCGACAGUAUAAGCACCGGCUAACUCUGUGCCAGCAGCCGCGGUAAUACUGAGGGUGCAAGCGUUAAUCGGAAUUACUGGGCGUAAAGCGCGCGUAGGUGGUUCGUUAAGUUGAAUGUGAGAGCCCCGGGCUCAACCUGGGAACUGCAUCCAAAACAGGCGAGAUAGAGUAGGGCAGAGGGUGGUGGAAUUUCCUGUGUAGCGGUGAAAGGCGUAGAAAUAGGAAGGAACACCAGUGGCGAAGGCGACCACCAGGGAUCAUACUGACACUGAAGUGCGAAAGCGUGGGGAGCAAACAGG